UACGCGAGAUUUAAUUUUUUCGCCAUCAAAUGCCUGUUGACAGUUACUCGAAAACCUCGCGAAAAUUUGGCAUUUCUCGGAGCAUAAAAAAUCCAAAACAUAUUGGCCUGAAAUCCACUAAUUAAAUGUCUCCGUCCCGGCCCUACGGAGGAAACCAUUUUGCAGAAGAGGGGGCCGGCGUUCAAAUCGUAAGAGUGCGUGGCAGAUGAAGAGGGCCACAACAAGUGCUUCAAUUUUCUUCAUCUUAAUAACGAUUUCUAUUGAGAUCGUCGAUGUUUCUUCAUCGUCGCCUUUCUUACAUGAAAGCCAGGUUUAUGAGGGAUCUGCUGGUGGAAGGCAUAAUAAACAUGGGCAAGAGCACGCUCAUGAAGUACAUUGCUCUAGAGAAAGAAGUAGGGCAGCUUCAAAAAUAAUUGAGGAGUAUUUGAUGCCAUUUGUGGAGCGAGAAAACUAUCAGCUCCCGACAAAAUGCAGACUUCGUCCCGACUAUAAUAUAUUCAGGGAUCAGGAAGAGCAUAAAAUUUAUAUUGAUAUAAAUGAAUGGCGGUGUGGAUAUUGUAAGAAAAGCUUCCGUGCUGAAAAAUUUCUUGAUCAGCAUUUUGAUAACAGACACCACAAUCUUCUAAAUGUAAGUCAUGGCAAGUGCCUUGCUGAUUUAUGCGGGGCAUUGCAUUGUGAUGCUGUGAUUUAUACUAAGACCUCUAAAACCAAGUGUAAUCCGGCAGCUGCAGGGAGAAAUCGUCACCUAUGUGAGAGUCUUGCAGAUAUUUGUUUUCCCUUAAAUGGGGGUCUCUCAGCAAGCCGCCUUCAUGAAUUGUUUCUGCACCAAUUUUGUGAUGCCCACACCUGCUCAGGUAAACAGAAACCCUUCGUUAGAGGUGGCAGGGUAAGAUGCUAAGAUCCAACUCUCUUCUUUUUAAAUUGCAUUACUAAAACACCUAUUUAUUUCAAUGUCUCUACUUGGAAAGUUGUCACUACUAAUUUGUAAUGGCUUUGAAAGAUUCGUGGCUUUAUACUCCUUGUCAUAAAUUAUCCACAUUGUUAGGUGUUAUCCAUUCUAUUGAAGCACUUCCGGGGAGAAAAACCUCAUAUGAACUGAAACAUAAUUGUAAUAAAAGGGAGAGUUAAUUAGAGUUAGUUAAUUGCCUUGGGUGAACGGAGGGGAUUAAAUAGGUUGUAAUUAGCUUUUGUGAGAAUCAUAUUGAGUUGAAUGGAAUAAACUUUCCCUCUGUUUAGAAAUAUAAUAGGGAAGAGACAGAAAGAGUAGGAAAGAGUGAUAGAGAGAGGAAGAGGGGUAGGUUAAAGGAGAGAGACAGAAGGAGAGUAGAAACAGAGAGAAGAGAAAAAAUAGGAGAGUCUAUUCCAUUCCAUUCAAUUCAAUAUGAUUAAAAUCUAAUUAUAUAUCUACCCAAUCCCCUCUAUUUAUUGAUUAACUCUAAUUAUCUCCUCCUUUUAUUGCAAUUAUAUAUCAUUGCAUUUUCUGUUUGGUUCUUUAGGGUAGCUCUUAUCCACUUCUAAAUUUAAACAUGCAAGCAGUACUUCUAUCCUAGGAAGGUCUACAAGUAUCAAGCAUGGUCUUUACCUUUCAAUCCCAGCAUAUCAAAAUUCCUGAAAAUUUCUAGAAGCAAAAGAGUAUCUUCUAUUUGGCUUCUGGAGCGUUGACCUUGGUGCUACUUCCUGUGUUUUAU